AGAGCGAACGCUGGCGGCAGGCCUAAUACAUGCAAGUCGAACGGAUCCUUCGGGAUUAGUGGCGGACGGGUGAGUAACACGUGGGAACGUGCCCUUUGGUUCGGAACAACUCAGGGAAACUUGAGCUAAUACCGGAUGUGCCCUUCGGGGGAAAGAUUUAUCGCCAUUGGAGCGGCCCGCGUCUGAUUAGCUAGUUGGUGGGGUAAAGGCCUACCAAGGCUACGAUCAGUAGCUGGUCUGAGAGGAUGAUCAGCCACACUGGGACUGAGACACGGCCCAGACUCCUACGGGAGGCAGCAGUAGGGAAUCUUGCGCAAUGGGCGAAAGCCUGACGCAGCCAUGCCGCGUGAAUGAUGAAGGUCUUAGGAUUGUAAAAUUCUUUCAGUGGGGACGAUAAUGACGGUACCACAGAAGAACGCCCGGCUAACUUCGUGCCAGCAGCCGC
rnacentral:rRNA from 1 species